UACAGAGGUCUCAAGCGUUGUUCGGAUUCAUUGGGCGUAAAGGGUGUGUAGGUGGCGCCGUAAGUCGGGUGUGAAAUCUUGGAGCUUAACUCCGAAACUGCAUUCGAUACUGCCGUGCUUGAGGACUGGAGAGGAGACUGGAAUUUACGGUGUAGCGGUGAAAUGCGUAGAUAUCGUAAGGAAGACCAGUGGCGAAGGCGGGUCUCUGGACAGUUCCUGACGCUGAGGCACGAAGGUCAGGGGAGCAAACGGG
rnacentral:rRNA from 1 species